rnacentral:rRNA from 1 species
UACGAAGGGGGCGAGCGUUGUUCGGAUUUACUGGGCGUAAAGGGCGCGCAGGCGGCUCAUUUUGUCAGGCGUGAAAGCCCCGGGCUUAACCUGGGAACUGCGUUUGAUACGGAUGGGCUAGAGUUCGGGAGAGGAGAGUGGAAUUCCCAGUGUAGAGGUGAAAUUCGUAGAUAUUGGGAAGAACACCGGUGGCGAAGGCGGCUCUCUGGACCGAGACUGACGCUGAGGCGCGAAAGCUAGGGGAGCAAACAGG